UACGUAGGGUGCGAGCGUUGUCCGGAAUUAUUGGGCGUAAAGGGCUCGUAGGCGGUUUGUCGCGUCGGGAGUGAAAACCACGUGCUUAACACGUGGCUUGCUUUCGAUACGGGCAGACUAGAGGUAUGCAGGGGAGAACGGAAUUCCUGGUGUAGCGGUGAAAUGCGCAGAUAUCAGGAGGAACACCGGUGGCGAAGGCGGUUCUCUGGGCAUUACCUGACGCUGAGGAGCGAAAGUGUGGGGAGCGAACAGGAUUAGAAACCCCCGUAGUCC
rnacentral:rRNA from 1 species